UGAUAAAACCUAUUUUCAAUUAAAAAAUUAGUUUAAAGUACAUAUAACAUUAAUGCGCUUAUAUAUACAUAUAUGAGGUAUAUUCCAUAUUACAAAAAAGAAGGCACUUUUUUAAGCUUCUACAUUUUUCUUUUUUUCAUCUGUAAGGAUGGUUUACAUUUCAAAGGUGUUACUCAUGUAAAAAAUAAAUAGACAUUGUACAUGUCGCUGUAUACAUAUAUCCAUAAAUAUGCUAAAAUAUAUAUAUAUAUAUAUAUAUAUAUAUAUAUAUAUAUAUAUAUGUACACACAUGAUAAAUAAAUAAAAUGAUUAAUUGAUUAAUUGAUUAAUUAAUUAAAUAGUUGUUAGGUGGUACAUAAGUGUAAUAGUAGCAUACAUAAAUCCUUAAAACAUAUAUACAAGUUUAUGUUAAGACUCCAUUAAAAAAAAAAAAAAUUAAAAUAAAUCGAUUUAACAUCGAUCAAUUUAUUAUUAUGUAGUAGCAAAAAUAAUAAUUUUAAUAGUUAAAAAAAAAAUCGAGUUGUUAUAUUAACAAAUAUAUAAAUUAUUUAAAGGGUGAUAGUUGUACAUACAUAUAUAUGUAUAUGCACCAACAUAUAUAUAUAUAUAUAUAUAUAUAUAUAUAUAUAUAUACGCAUUUAUGUGCGUAUAAAAAUAAAAAGGGCAACAUUUAAAAAAAUUAUAGUAAACAGCUAUACGUAUGGAUACGCAUAAAUAAAAAAGAAUAUGCACCAACAUAUAUAUAUGCUUGUACAUAUGUAUAUAUAUAUAUAUAUAUAUAUAUACACAUAGUUUAUAUUUACAAGUUAAUUAUUUAGAAAAUAAAAAAUUGUUAACAUUUAUGGGAAAAACAAUAAAAAAUUUAAAACAAGUGUAUCACAAAUGUAUCACAAAAACAAGAAAAAAAACACUUAAGGAAGAAAAAGCACUAAUGAAUAAAAAACUGAAAAAAAAAAAAAAGAAAAAAAAAAAAUAAUAAAAUAUAUAUAUAUAUAUAUAAAACGAGGUAUUACAUAUUAUACAUAAAGAGACCAACUCACUAUACUAUUUAAACCUAUUUUUACUUGUUUUGGCUUAGUUUUUUUUUUAAAGUAUAAAAAAAAUGCAAUAAAAAAUAAAUGCAAAUAUGUAGGAGUGUGUAA
rnacentral:lncRNA from 1 species